AACGAACGCUGGCGGCAUGCCUAACACAUGCAAGUCGAACGAGACCUUCGGGUCUAGUGGCGCACGGGUGCGUAACGCGUGGGAACCUGCCUUUAGGUUCGGAAUAACUCAGAGAAAUUUGAGCUAAUACCGGAUGAUGUCUUCGGACCAAAGAUUUAUCGCCUUUAGAUGGGCCCGCGUUGGAUUAGCUAGUUGGUGGGGUAAAGGCCUACCAAGGCGACGAUCCAUAGCUGGUCUGAGAGGAUGAUCAGCCACACUGGGACUGAGACACGGCCCAGACUCCUACGGGAGGCAGCAGUGGGGAAUAUUGGAAAAUGGGCGAAAGCAUGAUCCAGCAAUGCCGCGUGAGUGAUGAAGGCCUUAGGGUUGUAAAGCUCUUUUAACCGAGAUGAUAAUGACAGUAUCGGGAGAAUAAGCUCCGGCUAACUACGUG
rnacentral:rRNA from 1 species